UCAACUUUUUUUCAAUCAUCAUUAAAAUAAUAAAUGUUUAAACAAUUGUAAUGCAAUUAAACGUGCGUCUAACCUAUUGACCAGCAGUGUAUAUCGUUUUAUCUGGGAGCGUGAGAUUUAAGAAAUUCAUUUCUAAUUUUGUCUUUUGGCAUAUUAGAAAUGUUUCUUCGAAAAUCGCUCGCUUACAAGGGAUAAAACGACUUCUGAGUGGU